UACGUAGGUGGCUAGCGUUGUCCGGAUUUACUGGGCGUAAAGAGCGCGCAGGCGGUCGUUCAAGUCGAGUGUGAAAGCCCCCGGCUCAACUGGGGAGGGUCACUCGAUACUGAUCGACUCGAAGGCAGGAGAGGGAAGCGGAAUUCCCGGUGUAGUGGUGAAAUGCGUAGAUAUCGUUUGGAACGCCGAUGGUGAAAACAGGUCGCUGGGGACGUGCUGACGCUGAGACACGAAAGCCAGGGGAGCGAACGGG
rnacentral:rRNA from 1 species